rnacentral:rRNA from 1 species
CCUACGGGAGGCUGCAGUGGGGGAUAUUGCACAAUGGGGGAAACCCUGAUGCAGCGACGCCGCGUGGGUGAAGAAGUAUUUCGGUAUGUAAAGCCCUAUCAGUAGAGAAGAAAGAAGACGGUACCUGACUAAGAAGCCCCGGCUAACUACGUGCCAGCAGCCGCGGUAAUACGUAGGGGGCGAGCGUUAUCCGGAUUCACUGGGUGUAAAGGGAGUGUAGACGGCCGUGCAAGCCAGGAGUGAAAGCUCCGGGCCCAACCCCGGGACUGCUCUUGGAACUGUGUGGCUGGAGUGCGGGAGGGGCAGGCGGAAUUCCUGGUGUAGGGGUGAAAUGCGUAGAGAUCAGGAGGAACACCGGCGGCGAAGGCGGCCUGCUGGACCGCGACUGACGUUGAGGCGCGAAAGCGUGGGGAGCGAACAGGAUUAGAUACCCUUGUAGUC